rnacentral:lncRNA from 1 species
GUGGCGCCGUGGGAAAGCGCGCUGGUUUCUGCCAAAUGCAGUUAGCUUUGCUUCGCUUCCCUAAGUGCGUUCCCCCAGGGGCCCGGCAGUGUGCUAGGGGCACCCUGCUUCGUAAGUGAGGCAGACAGCCCGUGAUAAAUGCCAAAGUAGAAGCCCCUCCGAAAAAUUAAGGAGCCGAUUGGGCGGGACUAACCCUAAGGGAGGGCAGGGGAAGCGACCGUCACCUCCGGGCGCCGGGGACUCGGAACGCCGGGUCGGAGCUCGGCAGGCGGAGACACUAUCUGUUCUGUUGCAAUGCAAAAGGAUGAAAGUAACAGUGGCUGCUGCUUAUGGGGCUUGAUAGUUACUAUGUAGCUGCAUGUAUUAAUUCAAGCCUCACUGUGAGCUUACCAUGUUUUACCAGUGACCUUUUGAAUCUUCACCAGAACACUACAAGGAACAGACAUUGAUGCAGUUUCCUUCCUGGAGAGGGUACACACUCAGAUCAUGAGACCUAAGAUAAAACACACACUGGAUUGUCAAGAAUCAAACAAGGACUACCAAUGGGAUCUAAUUAAACUAAAGAGCUUCUGCACAGCAAAAGAAACUACCAUCAGGGUGAACAGGCAACCUACA